UACGGAGGAUGCAAGCGUUAUCCGGAUUUAUUGGGUUUAAAGGGUGCGCAGGUUGUUUGAUAAGUCAGUGGUGAAAGUCUGUCGAUUAACGGUAGGAUUGCCAUUGAUACUGUUAGACUUGAAUAUGGAUGAGGUAGGCGGAAUGUGUAGUGUAGCGGUGAAAUGCAUAGAUAUUACACAGAACACCGAUUGCGAAGGCAGCUUACUAAUCCAUCAUUGACGCUGAGGCACGAAAGCGUGGGGAUCAAACA
rnacentral:rRNA from 1 species